GGAUGCGAUCGUACAAGCUCGAAAGCACCGGAUCCCAUCAGAACUCCAAAAUUAAGCGUGCUUGGGCGAAUGAAGUACAAGGAUGUGUGACCUCCUUUGAAGUCCUUGUGUUGCAUCCU
rnacentral:rRNA from 1 species